UACAGAGGUCUCAAGCGUUGUUCGGAUUCAUUGGGCGUAAAGGGUGCGUAGGCGGCGCGGUAAGUCGGGUGUGAAAUCUCGGAGCUUAACUCCGAAACUGCAUUCGAUACUGCCGUGCUUGAGGACUGGAGAGGAGACUGGAAUUUACGGUGUAGCGGUGAAAUGCGUAGAUAUCGUAAGGAAGACCAGUGGCGAAGGCGGGUCUCUGGACAGUUCCUGACGCUGAGCACGAAGGUCAGGGGAGCGAAACGGG
rnacentral:rRNA from 1 species